UGGAAAGUAGGCGGGCGUAUCUGCUAGGGAGAAAAGGGGCUUUACCGAAAGUGGAAUCCUUUGGGCUGGGUUCGAAUCUGAUAUCCUGGAAUUCCCAUCAGGUUUCAGCAGAGAGGAGAUCAAUCGGGGGCUGCUAACCUUUCGCCAAGAUCUAUUCCUGCAACCGUCUGGGGCGAGCGGAGGAGGAAAAUUACUCACGGCUCUUCCAGGAAAAUAAAAGUUAUAGGAAUAAUGAUGCAAAAGAAAACUUCAGCGAAUGAACUGUACAUCGACGAGAAAUCCCAGUACUGCUUGUUAGUCAUUCUUAAGUAGAAAUCAAAAAGGGAACUGCAAUAAAAGUUGAAGGUCAUUUAUAAAGCUGUUGAAUAACAUUGGGACAAGAAUAGAACCCUGCAUCAAGACUUCCUUCCAGGUUGAUUCAAAACUAUAAAUAAUCUUCAUUGAACAGGAUGGAACUGAAUUUGGAAUAAAAUCAACGUCUAGAAUCACACUGCAUUGCAAUUAA